CGCCUCUUGAAAAAUAUAAGAGGUCCAGCCUGCCCAGUGACUCUGUUCAACGGCCGCGGUAUCCUAACCGUGCGAAGGUAGCGUAAUCACUUGUUCUUUAAAUGAGGACUAGUAUGAAAGGCAUCACGAGGGUUAUACUGUCUCCUUUUUCUAAUUAGUGAAACUAAUCUCCCCGUGAAGAAGCGAGGAUUAUUUUAUAAGACGAGAAGACCCUAUGGAGCUUUAAAUAAUAUAACAAUUGCUACCUUAUUUUUAUUAAACUCGUAACAUCUAGCAAUAUGAUUAUUAAUUUUUGGUUGGGGUGACCGCGGAGCAUAACAUAACCUCCACAUUGAAAGGAUAAUACUCCUAAGCUAAAAGCAACAACUUUAAGCAUCAAUAAAUUGACAUUAAUUGACCCAAUAUAUUUGAUCAACGAACCAAGUUACCCUAGGGAUAACAGCGCAAUCUACUUUAAGAGCCCAUAUCGACAAGUAGGUUUACGACCUCGAUGUUGGAUCAGGGUAUCCCAGUGGUGCAGCCGCUACUAAUGGUUCGUUUGUUCAACGAUUAAAACCCU
rnacentral:rRNA from 1 species